GUCAACAUCGGAGUAUGAGUCUUGUUUGAUCAUCAAUCGUGCAAACCUGUCAAUGGAGGUUGGUGUAAGAAGUUGGAGGAAGAAGAAGAUGGAGAUUUGAGGUGUGGUGGAUUAAUCAAACAUUCACACAGGGCAUUCCACGCAAAGCUUGAUUUUAAAGGCUGGGCUGGUUUCUUUUUUAGCCUGCCAACAAUUUUAUUUAGAUGUAGAGGCAAGCCCAAGAAAGUCUAGGUUGGCUUCCAACUCCAUCUCAGUCGACAUUUUGCUUUCGAGGGGGUGGAGUCUUGGAGCGAACUACUCAUUGCUGUGUUGCCCCAAUCCAAGAAAGGACUUUUGUGAGGAGCAUUGUUUUGAGGGAGGGAAAACGUGAUUGACAAGUCACUUCGAGAAGGUGACUGGAGUGCUUUCAUCAAAUGAUUAGAUCACCUCGCCAUAGAUGUUGUGCAUGUCACACUAACUUUGAUACAUGAGGUCAAAAGAGGUGAAGAUAGGACUAGACCAUGAUCAUAGAGACCAAGGGCACUAUGGCGGUGUACGCAUAUGAGGUCGACUAGGGAGCUUGGACAUCGUCCCAAGCUUUCCUUCUCUCUUUUGUUUAGCGGUCGAGCUUCCUCGUCUCUUUUAGAGUCUAGGUCACGAAAGAACAUAAAGAUUUAAGGGGUCAGCUUUAUCUUUAAAGAAACUAUAUACUUCGAUGUUCAAGCAAAA